ACGGGUGAGUAAUACAUCGGAACGUAUCCUGGAGUGGGGGAUAGCCCGGCGAAAGCCGGAUUAAUACCGCAUACGCUCUGAGGAGGAAAGCGGGGGACCUUCGGGCCUCGCGCUCAAGGGGCGGCCGAUGGCGGAUUAGGUAGUUGGUGGGGUAAAGGCCUACCAAGCCGACGAUCCGUAGCUGGUCUGAGAGGACGACCAGCCACACUGGGACUGAGACACGGCCCAGACUCCUACGGGAGGCAGCAGUGGGGAAUUUUGGACAAUGGGGGCAACCCUGAUCCAGCAAUGCCGCGUGUGUGAAGAAGGCCUUCGGGUUGUAAAGCACUUUUGUCCGGAAAGAAAUCAUCGGGGCCAAUACCCCUGGUGGAUGACGGUACCGGAAGAAUAAGCACCGGCUAACUACGUGCCAGCAGCCGCGGUAAUACGUAGGGUGCGAGCGUUAAUCGGAAUUACUGGGCGUAAAGCGUGCGCAGGCGGUGCUGUAGGACCGAUGUGAAAUCCCCGGGCUUAACCUGGGAACUGCAUUGGUGACUGCAGCGCUGGAGUAUGGCAGAGGGGGGUGGAAUUCCACGU
rnacentral:rRNA from 1 species